GGCUCAGGAUGAACGCUGGCGGCGUGCCUAAUACAUGCAAGUCGAGCGAACUGAUUAGAAGCUUGCUUCUAUGACGUUAGCGGCGGACGGGUGAGUAACACGUGGGCAACCUGCCUGUAAGACUGGGAUAACUUCGGGAAACCGAAGCUAAUACCGGAUAGGAUCUUCUCCUUCAUGGGAGAUGAUUGAAAGAUGGUUUCGGCUAUCACUUACAGAUGGGCCCGCGGUGCAUUAGCUAGUUGGUGAGGUAACGGCUCACCAAGGCAACGAUGCAUAGCCGACCUGAGAGGGUGAUCGGCCACACUGGGACUGAGACACGGCCCAGACUCCUACGGGAGGCAGCAGUAGGGAAUCUUCCGCAAUGGACGAAAGUCUGACGGAGCAACGCCGCGUGAGUGAUGAAGGCUUUCGGGUCGUAAAACUCUGUUGUUAGGGAAGAACAAGUACGAGAGUAACUGCUCGUACCUGA
rnacentral:rRNA from 1 species